GCUUGGAGAUGAAGAAAUCGGCAUGAGGCACUUUGCAGCCCACGAGCGGGAAGACUUGGUUGAGCAGCUGGAGCGGGCUAAGGAACAGGUGACUUCUGAGCCCUGUUUUUAGAUAGGGAUGCCUGCAUGUGAUCUCACAACGGGAAGCAGGGGACACAUGUUCCUGCAGCCCUUCAUAGCAGGAGGUAGGGCACAUGUGCUACUGUGUCCUUGUCCAAAAGGGGCACAAGAGAGGGCUUGACUUCCUCAGUUCUUCCUAGGUUUGUGAUGAGUGACUGACCCCUAGCUGGGUGGUAUCCAGUAGUGACUGAAAUGUGACAAACUGGCCUUUCAUUUAUGAGUUUCCACUAAGAUGCUGAGUGAUGCUUUUAGGCAGGAUUUCAGAGAGUGCAGACCCCCCGCCCCCGCCCCUGCCUGGAGAGCAGCUAUAAGAAUAGAGAU
rnacentral:lncRNA from 1 species